UUCUGGUAUAAUUCCUAAGUCUUUGAUUCAUUUUGAUUUGAGUUCUGUGUGGGGUGAGAGACAGGGGUCUAGUUUCAUUUUUCUACAUGUAGCUAUCCAGUUUUCCAAGCAUAAUUUGUUAAAAAGGGUAUCUUUUCUCCAAAAUAUAUUUUUGGCACCUUUGACAAGUAUCAGAUGGCUGAAGAUAUGUGGAUUUCUCUCUGUGUUUUCUAUUCUGUUCUGUUGGUCUUUUAUUUUGAUUACACCAUGGUGUUUUUGUUAACUGCUCUGUAUAAUUUCAGAUCAGGUAUUGUGACGCCUCCUGCUUUGGUUUUUCUUGCUUAGGAAAAAUGUUUUUCCUUCUGUCCUUAUUCUGGUCUCUUAUUCUUCCAAAUGAAUUUUUAUUUAUUUUUUUUAAUUCUGUGAAGAAAGUCAUUGAUAUUUUUAUGGAGAUUGCAUUGAAUCUGUACAUUGAUUUUGGUUGUAUGGCCAUUUUUUACAAUAUUAAAUUUGCUUACCUAAGAACAUGAAAUGUCUUUCCACCUUCUCUGGUCUUCUUCAGUUUCUUUGUUCAAUGUCUAUAAUUUUCACUGUAGAGCUCUUUUACUUCCUUGGCUAGAUUAAUUCCCAUUUUUUUAAUGUUAUUAAGAAUGGAAAGUUUUCCUGAAUUCUUUCUCAGCUGAAUCACUGUUGGAGUAUAGGAAAACUAUUGAUUUAUGGGUGUUGAUCUUAUAUCCUGCUGCUUUGCUGCACUCAUUUAUAAGUCUUCUGGUGGAGUUUUUUGGGGUCUUCUAGAUAUAGUAUCCUUUCAUCAGCAAACAGAGAAAGUUUGAC
rnacentral:lncRNA from 1 species